AACGAACGCUGGCGGCGUGCUUAACACAUGCAAGUCGAACGAGAUCCAAGCAGUGGCAACACUGUGGAAGAUCUAGUGGCGAACGGGUGAGUAACACGUGAGCAACCUGCCCCGAAGUCUGGGAUAACAGCGGGAAACCGCUGCUAAUACCGGAUGUCCCCACCGGACCGCAUGGCCUGGUGAGGAAAGGAUUCAGCUUCGGGAGGGACUCGCGGCCUAUCAGCUUGUUGGUGGGGUAACGGCCUACCAAGGCGACGACGGGUAGCUGGUCUGAGAGGACGAUCAGCCACACUGGGACUGAGACACGGCCCAGACUCCUACGGGAGGCAGCAGUGGGGAAUCUUGCGCAAUGGGCGAAAGCCUGACGCAGCAACGCCGCGUGAGGGAUGAAGGUCUUCGGGUUGUAAACCUCUUUCAAGCGGGGACGAUAAUGACGGUACCCGCAGAAGAAGCUCCGGCCAACUACGUGCCAGCCGCCGCCGUAACAC
rnacentral:rRNA from 1 species